rnacentral:rRNA from 1 species
AUGCAGAGCCGCACAAGUAGAAGCCCCGUCACCGGAAUAAUCUGCCAACUUAUGUUUCACCUGGAUCGGAUUGGAUUCUGUGUAGAUCGCAUUUUACUGAAUAAUCCCCACGAAAUCAAAUGGACCGUGGACCCUUGCCGACUCUUUGGCUGUCAACGCCGGCAGCUUGGAGCAACAUGUACACUUGUUCUUAAGUGCAGAUCGUACAUCAGAUACACCUGUUUCUUCAUAUUGAUUUUUCUAAACAGAGGUCGCACACACCAGGCUGUCAGUCCAACGCCCCACAUCAAGCUUAGUCAGGAGGAGCAGGACGCCCUCCAGCCGGCGGCCAUUCAACCAUGGGUCACAGCCGGGGUGCUGAGGGUGAGCUUGGCCGGUAUCCAUCCAUCCGGCGGCCAAGCAGGCCUGGGUCGCAGCCGAGGCAUCAUGGUCAACGAAGCCAUAAAUAACAUGGCUAUGGAUGAGCGAUGGCGGGCGCAGGUGAUGUUGGAGAGGAACGUGACCGUGGGAACGCCGGCACAAGCAGCGGUGGUGCAAAUCCAGCCGUCCGAACGCAGACGUGGCCGGCAAUGCUGCUCCAUCCAUAGAGGGAUUCGUCGGAGAUUUGAAGAACCUCGAUGCAAAGGGGUGGAUCCGGACUGCGGUGGCCAGCGGUGGCGACGCAUAGCGGAGGAGCGGCGCAAAGAAGAGGGGCGGCGGACGACGGUUGCCAGCGGUGGCGGCGCGCGGCGGAGGGGCGGGGGCCGGCUGCGGUGGCGCAUGGCAGGGGUCGGUGCCAUGUUGGAGCAUGGAGAUGCGCUCGAGGUGGAGAUGGGAGCUAGGCUGUCGCCGUGUCGCAUGGUACCAUAUAACUGGAAUUACCGAUGCAAGUUGAAGAAGGAUUGGCCCGUGCUGCCGGCUGGCGUCAAGUUCGAUCCCACAGAUCAGGAGCUGAUCGAGCACCUUGAGGCCAAAGUGAGUGCUGACAGCGCGGGAUUUCAGUCUCUCAUCAAUUUGUUCAUACCAACCAUCGACAGCGAGCACGGCAUAUGUUACACUCAACCUGAGAAACUUCCAGGUAUCACACUAAGUGGCCUAAGGAAGCAUUUCUUCCAGCGCAAUUCCAGGGCAUCCAAAAGGGGCGCGUGGACACGUCGCAAGAUACAGUCGGAGUGCGGCAUGCACGCGAUGUGGCACAAGACUGGCAAUACCUUGCCGGUGAUGGUCAACGGCCGGCAGACGGGCAGCAAAAAAGGUUCUGGUGCUGCACACCAACAAGAACUUCGACCAGCAGAGGACCAACUGGGUGAUGCACCAGUACCACCUCAGGGACUUGGAGCAAGAGAAGGAGCGGGAGCUGGUCCUCUGCAAGAUUUUCUACCAGAUGAACACUAG